GCGGAAGGAUCAUUGUCGUGACCUUAAACAAAACAGACCGUGAACAUGUCAUCCAUGCUGCUGAGCUUCGGCUUGGCUUAGGCCCCCGACCUCUGUUUCAUAGGAGAGGGGCCACAAAAGAACCCACGGCGCCGAAGGCGUCAAGGAACACUGAUAUUGCCUUGCUCGGGGCUGCGGCUGGCUUGCCAGUCGUGCCUCGUGCAGCGAUGCUAUAUGAAUCAACACGACUCUCGGCAACGGAUAUCUCGGCUCUCGCAUCGAUGAAGAACGUAGCAAAAUGCGAUACCUGGUGUGAAUUGCAGAAUCCCGCGAACCAUCGAGUUUUUGAACGCAAGUUGCGCCCGAGGCCUUCUGGUCGAGGGCACGCCUGCCUGGGCGUCACGCCAAAAGACACUCCCAACCCAUCCUUGGGAACGGACGUGGUGUAUGGCUCCUCGUGCUGCAUGGCACGGUGGGCCGAAGUUGGGGCUGCUGGCAUAUCUUGCCGGGCACCGCACGUGGUGGGCGACAUUUGUUGUUCUCGGUGCAGCGUCCCGGUACGGAGCUGGCUUCUUGGCCCUAAGGACCCAUAUAGACCGCAGCGCUU
rnacentral:rRNA from 1 species